AGAAAAACAAGUUUGUUGCUGCGUAUGUUACAAUUAGAUGACCCCCAACGAGCAAGGAUCAACUACACAUCAACGCGAUCCUUUGCUGUCGACGACGCAAAUCUGUUUGCGAACACCAAUUUCGCGGAUUACAUCGGUUGGCACGGAAGAUCAAUAUCGCAUUGGAAGUGUAAGGUAUGCGAUAAACUUUUCAAGACAUGGGUAAUUCCUUCCCAUGUCUGGUUAUCCCACACCGAUGGAUCAUUCAAAUGCGAUGUAGAAGGAUGCGACUUCGUUUGCCAUGGCGUCUGUACAAUGAGAGACCACUACGCCACACAUUAACUGGUCAGUCCACUGAAGAACAAGCUGGCAUAAAUUCAACUGAGAGGUAUUCCCUCAAGCUCUGAGAUACUAAUGACCAGCCUAGUUCUUCCAUCCGUAUUGGGUCAACACAUUACGAAUCAUUCAAGCUCUGUGGAUUCAUUGACCAGGUAAAUUUUUUACUGUGGAAAUUAA